AAUGCAUGCCUGAGAGACUCAAGGUUCUGUUAGGAAGAGAAUGUGCACCCCACUCUUUUCUAAAUCUCUGACAAUGCUACUAAACUGUGGAUAGCUCAGGUCAAUCAUGGCUCAUUCACUUUGGUUAUCUCAAAACAGGGCGUCAUAUAAAAUCUGCCAAUGAUUUCUGUGGGGCAUAACAGAACUUCUCAAAAGGCCUCAACAUAUGGAAACUCUCAGAGGUGAUAACCCUAAACACCUAUUUAACAACCAAGUUGUCACGAAGAUAGUACAAAUCAAGAAGGAAAAAAAAAAAGAGCACAGUUUCAGAGGGAAUAUUGGAUGCAAUUAAAGUUAUUGGUGAUUCACUUACCAUGGGGCAGAUGCUGCCAAUGGCCAGAUUUGUGCAAGAAUGAUGAAGAGAGGAUCUGAGUCUGUUAGUCAUACAAUUUUUUAUUGUCAAGGUUCAUUUCUUUAGAAUACUUUCAUAAGAUACUUGAAUGUAACUGACACAAAAGUGUUUUUUUAAAAUCAUUAACUUUCUGAUUCACAUAUGACUUUCAUAGCUCAAUGCGAUCAUUUUAUUUUCACAUUCUUCUCUGCCCACUACCUGGGGAGAUUCUAAAUUCCUUCCAUUUACUUAAGGCUUAUUUGAAGCAAUUUUGCUCUUGACUCUAUGGUGCUGGCUCCUUCUGACUCUGAUCCAUUCAGGAGUGCAGCUGAUCUGGACUCUGUUCUAAAACAAUCCCAUGAGAUUUUGCCAGUGGCUGAAAUCCAGUUCUUCCACUUGCCUUAUCCUUGACCUUUACCUAUUUGGAGAUCUGAAGCUGGAGGCCAGUCCCAUGUGACUUCUGAGUUGUUCCUCAACCAUGUUCUUGUGAGCAAUGCUUGAAUCCAGACCUCUUCCCCACAUACGGUGGGGGCCCCGCUCUCCUGCCAAUGUGAUUGGCCAUGUGGAACGCAGUCUUGUUCCUGCUCCCUUAACAUAGUCACUGAUGAAGCCCUUGGUGACUGACUGAGGUGAUCCAGUUUGAUAUUCUGCUGUGAGCUAAGUGCUGCAGAGUAUAUAUCCUUCCUUUGAUUCAGAUAAGAUCCUUCCUUAAUCCAGAAUCAAGUCAUUUGAUUCUUCCUCUAUUUUUACUGGUGGUGAAACAAACAAAUAAAAAAAGGUCCUCUGGUAUGCAGUUCAAAGGCUUUGAAGUGGUGAAAGGGAUAUAUUUGGCGUUGUGAAAUUCUGAAUUAUAAAAAAAGAAAUACAAGUGAAAAAACUGCAAAAUAUGUUUUGCAUAUAAUGUAUUUUGUGAUAAAUA